GAAGAAACACAUUUCACUUCUUUUCUUACCAACCAAAUGUUGAGAGCAAGAUCGAGAGAGACUCAGCCAUAUUUUCUUCCAUUUCAGUACACCAUCAAGAGGGAGAAAAGGAAACAUUUCUGAUUCCCUCUUGCGUCCAGUUGCGACCGAUAGAGUGAGGAGGAGAGGGUAGACAGUAGCUAAAUGCAUUCUUCCAGCUUGGGACUGUAGAACUUUGAGUCUGGUGCAGCUUUGGAAACUGAAGCAGGAACCAAACAAGCAGCCUGCAAUUCUUUUCCAAACUUUAAAGGGGAGGAGGAAGUAGCUGUGAACCAGAAAAUCGACUCGAGACUCGAGAGUAAUUUAUUUGGAUAUUUGGGGUUGAAGUUUGAAGGAUGAUCGAGUAGCAUUAGAGUGUUUUGAGUGGUCUAGUGUUAUAUAUUGAUGAUAAGACUUGCAUUUUGUACCUAUUAAUGGAUAGAUUUCUAUUUCACACUAGUUGGUGAUGUACUUAAGUAUGAACAUUUGGACGAGUUACUUUUGUAAUUUGUAGUAGAUAAAGCUUUUGUCUUACUAAAAAGUAUUAAGAAUGGAUGUUUGG